UUCGGACCAUUAGAAGAGCAAUAAAUUAGUCAAGCGUGAAGGAAGUUGGUCAAUUAUUGAUGAAAAGUGGAUGAAAGACGGCAAUAAUUGUGGAAAAGUCGUUGAAAAGUAUUAAAAGAUUACGGAAUUCAAUGAAAUCUCAGGCGGUUUAGUUGAUAUGUGAGAUAGCGGCGUGGCACUCAAUUUUAUCAUGUAGUUCGAGUUUAAUUGGAUUUCCAUCGAAAAAUAAUCGCUUGAAGAUGAAUUGGAGAAGGAAUUAUGAGAAAAUUGAUCAAAAUUUUAUCAUUUAAGUGACAUUUACGUAAAAAUCUUCAUGAUUUUCUUCUGAAAUUUCCUUUAUAAUAACUUUUUUUGAACAACUCAUCCAAAAAAUUAUCAAUCCAAGAGUCAUGAUGAUGACAAGAGAAGAUCCCCAAAGUACGACCAUCGAGUAAAAGUGUUGAAGUUUGAGAGCUUCUGAGUAAUUUGUGACGUUUUGUAAAUUUAUUUCAUGUUUUAUUGAAUUUUUGUCAUCAAAGGCGCCAACAAAGCAAAUU